GAGGCUGCCCCAGUGCCGAUCGGCAUCGCUGGGUGGAGGCCCUCCAAGGCAGAGCUGAAAUGUGAACAAGAUGGUGGGAGUCGGGCCAUGCAGGUGAAGCUGGAGUCGAAGAAAAGCAAACACCACGGCCGAAAGCGACCGCACGAGGAGAACGGGGGCGACAACUACAAUGAGCACCAGGAGAAGAAAAAGUGUACCACUGGAUCAAGAAGAUAACCAAGAUCCGCAUCAUGGAAUUGCGUGGGGCCAGCGUUAAGCCCCUGAUUGAGGACGCAGGGGCUGAGCUGGGCUCCGAGCUCCUGGGCGAGAUUAUCUUCCUUCGCGUCGCAGCAGGGGCGAGCUCAACCAGAAGCUCGCCAGCCUACAGACUUAAGCCGAGCUUACGUUUACCACAGAGACGCUAAGCACUCAGCUGAGAGGUGAAUAGGCAGCUGGUCUCCAUUGCGCCCUCCACCAAAAAGUUAAUUUUGUAAAAGGCAGUACACGACAAGACAUGAGAACACACACUUCUCACGUCAACCCUGAACUAUAUGUCCCUUCUUCCUCCAAGCAGGGUUGGCAGUGUGUGAAGUGGUGCCAACCCUGCUUGGAGGAAGAAGGGACAUAUAGUCAAGGUGCUCUGAUUUGUUAUUCACUCUUUUUUUUUUUUUUUUUUUUUAGCAAAAAAAAGGUAUUUCUCUGACUUUAAUCGGGUUUUUUUUAAGGUUGAUUCAAAAUUUUAUAUCUGAUAAUGGUAAUGUUUGUGAUAUUUACUGACUUGGAAUAGGUUUUGUGAAUGAUUAACAUGUUUCUUACAAUGCAAAAAAGCUGUCAAACUCACUGUUCAUCAUUUUGCUGGUUUAUGUGCAACUGAUGUAAUGAAUGCUCUAUGAUGGCAAAGACAAUGGGAGUUUGUACUAAUUGCUGUGAAAAUAAAGAUUUUUACAAACCUAA